rnacentral:lncRNA from 1 species
UUUUUUGGCCAUUUUUCCGCUGGGGGGUCUUGGGACCCCGACCUUCGGGGGCUGAUUUUUGGGCGCGGCUGUGCCCGUGGCCUAUUUUUGGCACACAGAGGCCGCCCGCCAAGUAUGGUGCCAUUCCGAGUCCCGCGGACGAACUUCGCCCACGCCCCCCACCAAGGCUAUAGCCCACCCGUUUUUUGGCCAUUUUUCCGCUGGGGGGUCUUGGGACCCCGACCUUCGGGGGCUGAUUUUUGGGCGCGGCUGUGCCCGUGGCCUAUUUUUGGCACACGGAGGCCGCCCGCCAAGUCAGGGGCCAUUCCGAGUCCCGCGGACGAAUUUCGCCCACGCCCCCCACCAAGGCUAUAGCCCACCUGUUUUUUGGCCAUUUUUCCGCUGGGGGGUCUUGGGACCCCGACCUUCGGGGGCUGAUUUUUGGGCGCGGCUGUGCCCGUGGCCUAUUUUUGGCACACGGAGGCCGCCCGCCAAGUCAGGGGCCAUUCAGAGUCCCGCGGACGAAGUUCGCCCACGCCCCCCACCAAGGCUAUAGCCCACCUGUUUUUUGGCCAUUUUUCCGCUGGGCGGUCUUGGGACCCCGACCUUCGGGGGCUGAUUUUUGGGCGCGGCUGUGCCCGUGGCCUAUUUUUGGCAAACGGAGGCUGCCCGCCAAGUCUGGGGCCAUUCCAAGUCGCGCGGACGAACUUCGCCCACGCCCCCCACCAAGGCUAUAGCCCACCCGUUUUUUGGCCAUUUUUCCGCUGGGGGGUCUUGGGACCCCGACCUUCGGGGGCUGAUUUUUGGGCGCGGCUGUGCCCGUGGCCUAUUUUUGGCACACGGAGGCCGCCCGCCAAGUCUGGGGCCAUUCCGAGACCCGCGGACGAACUUCGCCCACGCCCCCCACCAAGGCUAUAGCCCACCCGUUUUUUGGCCAUUUUUCCGCUGGGCGGUCUUGGGACCCCGACCUUCGGGGGCUGAUUUUUGCGCGCAGCUGUGCCCGUGGCCUAUAAUUCGCAN